CGUCUGCAACCUACACCACAGCUCACGGCAACGCCAGAUCGUUAACCCACUGAGCAAGGGCAGGGACCGAACCCGCAACCUCAUGGUUCCUAGUCAGAUUCGUUAACCACUGCGCCACGACGGGAACUCCAAAUCAUGUGCUUUUUAAUCUUAAAAGUUUAUCUAUGUUUUUUGGAAAAUUUUGAGAUCUUGAUCUUCCAUUGCUUAUGUCAGUUUUAGCCUUUUCCCCUAUGUAAUUCGCUGUUGUCCACCAAUAAAUUAGAGACUGCUUGAGCACUCCUCGAGAGUGUCUGCGUCUCCAUUCUUCUUCCUGCACCUGCCGCCCCUCCUCUUCGGGACCUCCCCUGACCCCCGGGCGGGCAGGACCCCGGCAAUUUUGCUUUUGGCUGGUUACCCAGUACUCUAAAGGAUUUCUCCUGCCUGUACCUGACAGCAGUCUGAUUUUCCCCUUUUCCUCUUUCGUCUUCCACAUUCAGAUAUUUAGUGGUGACUUUGUUGGAAGGUAGAAAAAUGAAAAUGAUGCUCAUUGUCUGGAAGCACUAUUGCGCUUCUUCAUUUUUUUUUUUUCUUCUCCAUUUCAAGCUAAGAGAAAGGAGGAAGAGAGGCAGAAAAGGAGUCAAAGAAGGACGGUGGAAAGGAGAGAGGAAGGAAAACGAAGGUUCCAGGAAAGACUCCAACCACCUGAGCAGCAUGUGCAGGGCCUCCAGCUGCUACAUCCUGAAGUGUGAUCCUGUCGCUGUCACAGUUGAAGGAAGACUGUGUCCCAGCAGUGCCUUGACUAAGAGGCCUCUCUCAGAGAUACGAGGGUGGCAUCGGAUGGCGCUCCAGCUACCACAAGUAAGGAGGGGUCUCACCACACCAGGCUAGGCCAGAACAUCCCCUCGAGUCUGCAGACAUUUCGGACAUAACCCCGUAUCCCACCAUAAAGAUAUUUAGAGAGUUCGCUGUGCUCAAGUGCAAAAUAAUCAGGUGAGGAUUUUGCACAGUCCCUAAGAAAUAGACAAUUCUCGUAGGUGGGGAAUGGACCUGACUUGCCAGAUGCCACCAAAACUCUAAUCAGACUUACAAUCUAGAAGGCUGAUUCCCCGCCCCCCACAAUGAGCUGCCUUGGACACCAGUUAAAUAGUCAUUCCUCAAAGGAUGUUUCCCUUACAACCUCCCUCCACCCCCCCUCCAAAACCAUUACCCACAUUCAUAAAGAGAUUGCCUCCCCCUAACCCUUGACUAUUAUCUCAGCACAAGAAGAAAUCUAUGCUAAAAAUAGAAAUUACCAUGUUUCCUAAGUGGCUCCCUAAACAGCAGGGAGCCUGAGUCCACUCUCAAUGCUCCCGGCCAAUCUGUUGGUCAAUAAAAUUUACUUGACGUCUCA
rnacentral:lncRNA from 1 species